GUGGGGAAUUUUGGACAAUGGGCGCAAGCCUGAUCCAGCAAUGCCGCGUGCAGGAAGAAGGCCUUCGGGUUGUAAACUGCUUUUGUACGGAACGAAACGGUCCGGGUUAAUACCCUGGGCUAAUGACGGUACCGUAAGAAUAAGCACCGGCUAACUACGUGCCAGCAGCCGCGGUAAUACGUAGGGUGCAAGCGUUAAUCGGAAUUACUGGGCGUAAAGCGUGCGGAGGCGGUUUUGUAAGACAGGCGUGAAAGCCCCGUGCGCGACCUGGGAAUUGCGCUUGUGACUGCAAGGCUGGAGUGCAGCAGAGGGGGAUGGAAUUCCGCGUGUAGCAGUGAAAUGCGUAGAUAUGCGGAGGAACACCGAUGGCGAAGGCAAUCCCCUGGGCCUGCACUGACGCUCAUGCACGAAAGCGUGGGGAGCAAACAGGAUUAGAAACCCCAGUAGUCC
rnacentral:rRNA from 1 species